rnacentral:rRNA from 1 species
UGGGGAAUAUUGGACAAUGGGCGCAAGCCUGAUCCAGCCAUGCCGCGUGAGUGAUGAAGGCCUUAGGGUUGUAAAGCUCUUUCGCCGACGAAGAUAANGACGGUAGUCGGAGAAGAAGCCCCGGCUAACUUCGUGCCAGCAGCCGCGGUAAUACGAAGGGGGCUAGCGUUGUUCGGAAUCACUGGGCGUAAAGCGCACGUAGGCGGAUUGUUAAGUCAGGGGUGAAAGCCUGGAGCUCAACUCCAGAACUGCCCUUGAUACUGGCAAUCUCGAGUCCGGAAGAGGUAAGUGGAACUGCGAGUGUAGAGGUGAAAUUCGUAGAUAUUCGCAAGAACACCAGUGGCGAAGGCGGCUUACUGGUCCGGUACUGACGCUGAGGUGCGAAAGCGUGGGGAGCAAAACAGGAUUAGAUACCCUGGUAGUCCACGCCGUAAACGAUGGAGGCUAGCCGUUGGCGAGCAUGCUCGUCAGUGGCGCAGCUAACGCAUUAAGCCUCCCGCCUGGGGAGUACGGUCGCAAGAUUAAAACUCAAAGGAAUUGACGGGGUCAUAGCUGUUU